AAAAUUGGUAAACGAAACUAUUUUCCUAUAAAAGAUAGACCUAGACAAGCUUCAUGAUCAGUCAACUUCAAUUCACACCAAUCACCUAAACUAUCCAGUUAUCAUCAUGGUUUCUUCAAAGAUCAUCAUUCUCGCUAUCGUCCUGUUCACCUGCAUCAUGCAUACCCAAGCUGCUUCAUCAGAGGAUGAAGACAAGAACACUGACGGCGGCUUUUCCCUUAGCAACUUAGAAGCCAUAAAAAACUUUAACAAACUCGUGUCAAAGAUUACCAAGGAUCCAACACAAACCUUCUCAAUCCUUUCUAGUUCGAUUAGGGGAAAGGCUAAGGGUGCAUCGAAGAACAAGGGCUCCGACAAGGAGGAUAACUAAUUCAACUGCAUCUUUGUGUGAAUAAUUUUAUAAGAUUGUAUUUUAGUAAAUGGUACAGCAUGAAA